AGAGUUUGAUCCUGGCUCAGAGCGAACGCUGGCGGCAGGCCUAACACAUGCAAGUCGAGCGCCCGCAAGGGAGCGGCAGACGGGAGAGUAACACGUGGGAACAUGCCCUUCAGUACGGAACAACCAAGGGAAACUUUGGCUAAUACCGUAUACGUCCGUAAGGAGAAAGAUUUAUCGCUGAAGGAUUGGCCCGCGUCUGA
rnacentral:rRNA from 1 species